UACGUAGGGUGCGAGCGUUGUCCGGAAUUAUUGGGCGUAAAGAGCUCGUAGGCGGUCUGUCGCGUCUGCUGUGAAAUCAGGGCUCAACCCUGGACCUGCAGUGGGUACGGCAGACUAGAGUGCGGUAGGGGAGAUCGGAAUUCCCGGUGUAGCGGUGAAAUGCGCAGAUAUCGGGAAGAACACCCGUGGCGAAGGCGGCUCUCUGGGACGGUACUGACGCUGAGACGCGAAAGCGUGGGAGCGAACAGG
rnacentral:rRNA from 1 species